CACCGCCUGUCACUAUAUGGGAGCUGGCCAUGACUGAAGUUGUUACCUUAAUCAUAAGAAGGGUUGAUGUCGUUGGCAGGGCUAGUGAUUGGAUUUAAGUCAUAAUAAGGUAGACGUAUGAGAAGUUAAGGCUG
rnacentral:ncRNA from 1 species